AUACGUAGGGGGCGAGCGUUGUCCGGAAUGAUUGGGCGUAAAGGGCGCGUAGGCGGCGCGGUAAGUCUGGAGUGAAAGUCCUGCUUUCAAGGUGGGAAUUGCUUUGGAUACUGCCGCGCUUGAGUGCAGGAGAGGUUAUCGGAAUUCCCGGUGUAGCGGUGAAAUGCGUAGAGAUCAGGAGGAACACCAGUGGCGAAGGCGGGUAACUGGACUGCAACUGACGCUGAGGCGCGAAAGUGUGGGGAGCAAACAGGAUUAGAUACCCUGGUAGUCCACGCGGUAAACGAUGAAUGCUAGGUGUUGCGGGUAUCGACCCCUGCAGUGCCGGAGUAAACACAAUAAGCAUUCCGCCUGGGGAGUACGGCCGCAAGGUUGAAACUCAAAUGAAUUGACGGGG
rnacentral:rRNA from 1 species